rnacentral:rRNA from 1 species
UGAGGAACAUGACCUUCGGCGGGGGAUAGCCGGCCCAACGGCCGGGUAAUACCGCGUACGACCACAUGGGGACAUCCCUGAGUGGUGAAAGCAGCAAUGCGCCGAUGGAGUGCCUCGCGGCCUAUCAGCUAGUUGGUGAGGUAACGGCUCACCAAGGCGACGACGGGUAGCUGGUCUGAGAGGAUGGCCAGCCACAUUGGGACUGUGACACGGCCCAGACCU